rnacentral:rRNA from 1 species
GACGAACGCUGGCGGCGUGCCUAAUACAUGCAAGUCGAACGCAGUGGGGACGGGUGAGUAACACGUGGGUAACCUCCCAUCAGAGGGGAUAACACUUGGAAACAGGUGCUAAACCGAUACUGAUGGAUGGACCCGCGGUGCAUUAGCUAGUUGGGGAGGUAACGGCUCAACAAGGCCACGAUGCAUAGCCGACCUGAAAGGGGGAUCGGCCAAACUGGGAUCGAGAAACGGCCAAGACUCCAACGGGAGGCAGCAGUGGGGAAUAUUCGGCAAUGGACGAAAGUCUGACCGAGCAACGCCGCGUGAGUGAAGAAGGUUUUCGGAUCGUAAAACUCUGUUGUUAGAGAAGCGGUAUCUAACCAGAAAGCCACGGCUAACUACGUGCCAGCAGCCGCGGUAAUUC